rnacentral:rRNA from 1 species
GGAAAGUUGCAAAGAACUUUGAAGAGAGAGUUCAAGAGAACGUGAAAUCGCUGAAGUGGAACCGGAGAGAGUUAACAUAACUUGGUAGCUAUAUCCUCUAAAGUCGCUUAACUGUGGCUCUGGGGGGUGGACGCUACCUGUUGUUGCACUGACUGCGUUGAUUGUGCUUUCCGAACAGUGUAGUGUUGCCCACUUUGUGGUGUCUUGCUUUCUGGGAGGUUUGUCAUAAUUAACGUAAAGCCAAUUCCCUUUGGAGUCAGUGUGAAAGUUAACCACCUUUCCGACCCGUCUUGAAACACGGACCGAGGAGUGUAAUUUAUACGCGAGUCAAGGGGUGGUGAAAACCCUAGGGGCGGAAUGAAAGUAAAGGCCGGUUAACCGGUUGACAUGGGAUCCGCUCUUCGGAGCGGCGCACCAUGGCCCUGUCUUGUCUGCUUGCAGAUGGGCAGCGGUAGAGCGUAUAGUUUGCGACCCGAAA